UCCUCAUCGCAAUUCCCAUCCAUUUAGAUUUUCGAAUCCAUGCUUGAGUUGAAUGAUAUUUGGCACAGAUCUUUCAUAAACCGCGGUUUCUUAAAUGAUCUCUCACAGAUCCGACCGAUAUUUUUCAUCUUUGUUCAGAUCAGUGAUCUAUCAGCGUUCAGAUCUCGUUUAGAUUGGUGAUCUUCUUCUUCUCCCCACUAUUGUUCUUACAGAUCCGGUUAGGCCGCCGGUACCGGUUCACCUCUAAACGGAAAGAACCGGACGGUUCUUGCACAAACGGCUCAAGUAGGGGUAAGCAGACCGCUUGCGGUAGCGAAUCCGGAUUCGGCCGGUCGAUCUGGUCUUCAAAACAUUGUUUGUUCUUUAAAAGGUGUUUAACACGCCGUCAUCUAUAGCCGUUGAUGGGAAAGAGGUGGUUAUGGUCGAGAGGAAGGCUGGUGGAGAUGAGAAACCCGUUGAUGAGGAUAAGAAGUGGUUUUAGUAUUCAUUGUGAAGGAGUCAAGUCUAUUAGUUGACAAGGCUGUCAUCUGUGGUGAAUUUGGCAAGGUUUUUUGGCCAAGGAAACCAUACUUGAAUUUGAAAGUCAAAGCUACCAAAGAACCCGAGGAGAGGGUGAUUGUUUUGAAGCCGAGAACCACCAUUAGUGUAAAAAUUGUUACUCCGCCUUUGGACUCUGAUAGUGACAAUGAAACUAAAAUAACAUUGAUUUUAACUAAUGUGACCAAAACAACCUCUACAAUGUUUAUCCUCUGUUACAUGUUGGGGGUAUGUUUCUUUUACUUUAAUUGACAGUUUAUCGUAUUUUAAUUCUACGUUAAUUUAACUUUUUUCAAGUUGUAAAAUUCAUCGAGGGGUGUUUUGUGAAGAGAUUUAUAGCCGCCAUCUUGAUGGAUGCAAUUUCAAACCCAAUUAAUAACAUCUGCUUCUUUGACUUCCUUAAAAAUGUCCCCUACUUCUCAAACAACCCCAAGGUGUUGAAAGGAGCUUUGGAAGAGAAGUUUUCGUCUCUAUCUUGACAGACGGCGUCUCAAAUCCCAUUAAUGAGACCAGGAUCUUUGGUUUCCUUGAACAUGCAAAGCCUUAUAUGGAAAAGUACCCUAAGACUGUAAAGUGGAUGGUCUGUUCCAUUCCUGUUUUGGAUUUUGCAUUGAAGGUUGCCCUCCUUUAUUGGGUACAAAGCAUAUUUCUGAAGGCCACUGCUGAAAAUGGAACCGUUGCUGUGAAUGGGAAGGCUGCUACUACGAGUGGGAAGGCUGCCACUAUGAGGGGGAAGGCUGCUGUGACUGAUAAAGUUGUUGCGAGUGGGAAGGUAUUAGCUGCUGCGAAUGGGAAGGCACCAGAUGCUUAGAGCGGGAAAGCAACAGCUGCAUCGGAUGGGAAGGUGGUGGCUUUUGUAGCAGAAGACAACGAGGCUGCAACAGAAGACAAGGCAUCGGAUAUGGAGAUGUGAUUAAGAAAUAACGUGUUCCAAUGUGUAGUAGAUUGUGCAACAAAUUUUUCCAUUUUAGAUUUGCAAACAUGAACAGUUGGUAUGGUUCUGAUAU